rnacentral:piRNA from 1 species
UGCCACUCUGUUCAGUUAAUUAUACUUUCC